rnacentral:rRNA from 1 species
UACGUAGGUGGCAAGCGUUAUCCGGAUUUACUGGGUGUAAAGGGCGUGUAGGCGGGAGAGCAAGUCAGACGUGAAAUUCCAGGGCUCAACCCUGGAACUGCGUUUGAAACUGUUAUUCUAGAGUAUGGGAGAGGUAGGUGGAAUUCUUGGUGUAGGGGUAAAAUCCGUAGAGAUCAAGAGGAAUACUCAUUGCGAAGGCGACCUGCUAGAACAUAACUGACGCUGAUGCGCGAAAGCGUGGGGAGCAAACAGG